CCCUUAGAUGUUCUGGGCCGCACGCGCGCUACACUGAUGCAUGCAACGAGUUCUACCCUGAGCCGGAAGGCUUGGGUAAUCUGUGAACGUGCAUCGUGAUAGGGAUAGAUUAUUGCAAUUAUUAAUCUUGAACGAGGAAUUCCUAGUAAACGCAAGUCAUCAGCUUGCAUUGAUUACGUCCCUGCCCUUUGUACACACCGCCCGUCGCACCUACCGAUUGAAUGGUCCGGUGAAGCCUCCGGAUUGGCGCGCACCUCGGUGCCGCCGAGAAGUUGGCUAAACCUUACCAUUUAGAGGAAGGUGAAGUCGUANCA
rnacentral:rRNA from 1 species